ensembl:lncRNA
CCAAUACGGAGCCAGGUAAAAAUACAAGGGAAUUUAAUAUGGAAAAGCCUUACUUACAGAGCUACCUAGACAGCCAGCAGAGCAGCAGUAAGUACAACAAGCCAAAGAUGAAAGCAAAAGCAGGGCCACCACAUAAGAAUCCCUCCCUCUUCAAAUUUCCAUCUUCAACAUCAUCCUGACCAUGCCCUCGCCAGUAGCCAGCCCCUAAGCAGGCAUGGCUACAGCAUCCCCUACAAUUCCCCUUUUAGUCUAAAAGAGGAUUAAAACUUAACAAUGUAAAGUAUCCAAAAUUAACAAUCAUAUAGGUGAAAUAUAAGAAAAUACAACAAUCUGCUUAUGUUACAUCAUAACUAUUUUAACUAAACCCUAAAGUCAUCUGAAAGAGGUGUCCAAGCCUGAACACCUCCUUCCAAUCCCAAACAUAAACAAUAGGAAUCUCUCCCUACCUUGGUAUAUACACUAUCCUAAAUGACAACAAUGGGGGAAAGAGGGUGUAGCAUCCCCCAAGUUACUUCCUGCUGAAAUGGGACAUUGAUAGACUAGCGGGGUCCUGUAGGAAUAAAAUGUUAGUGUAGUGAAAGUCUUGAAUGGAUUAUAUUCAGUCCAUGUUAGAUAGGAUUCAGUUGAUUGAAGAUCUCACUUGAAAUCCUCAACUUGAUUGAAGUCAGUACCAGAACCACUGGCUGGAGUGUCAGUUGAAAUGGAGUAAUUUGGAGGUGUGGCCCAUUUUCUUUCCAAGGUGUCCAGGGAUUGCUGUCAGGCAGGUCUUCAUUAACUGUGUGGGACUCAAACAUAAAAGUUAGCAGAGAAAUGUUUGCUUGUGUAAGUAUGUAUACUGGAAAGGCAACUAUGGGAGAAUAAUAAUUACAAAAGAGUGUACACCUUGAAGAAAAGAGCCAAGAAAAGACAAAGGCAGUAACCAAUUUCUUCUCUUAUUCUGUAUUACAUCAAUUGGCUUAUUAAUACAAUACAGAAACUCUAAACUUUAGGUAAACAAUGUGCUUGGAUUUUAGAGGAGGAAAGCCAAAUCGACCUCUAAAACCAGCAUUGUUUUAGUUGAAUAAAGACUAGAAAUAAAGAGAAAUAGAGUUCUGUGAGAGACAGCUGUAAAAUUUACCAUAUGGCACAUUCCUUUUGUUUAUAGCUACCCUCUCUUCUUAAGUAUCUACCCAUGCAGUGUCUGUUGACGUCUGGAAAUGAGUUUUCCUGUGAAGAUAAAAGCAAAACACUUCCAUUUACUUUGUGAUGUUUCUAUUUAGUUUAUGAGAUAUACCUUAGUAGAAUAUCUGUCAUUUUUCCUCGUCGAGAGGUUUUUCCUUUUCAACUCAAAUCUUGAUCAAAUUUGAUGGUAUCCAAAGUUUUUCUUCUCCUGUGGAAACCAAAGCAAAUCCCCUACCCCAAUGUAGCACAUGUCCUGGUUUCCAUACAGAGGUUAGUACAACUUUGAAGUAUACCGGCUGAUUGAGUUCAGCAGUUUUCUCUGUAGUCCAGUGACUUUCUACAGCUGUUUGUCCUUUCUCAUUGGAGUUAAGAAAGUUUAGUGUUAACAAAGCAUUAUUCAACCUAUGUUUGGGGGGUUUAGUCUUCCAAGCUUGUUUGUGGAACAUCUUCUUAAGUGUUCUAUUAGAUCUCUCAAACACUGCUUGUCCCAUAGAAUUGUUUGAUAUACCAGUGACAUGCUUUAUGUCAUAAUAUUUGAAAAAUUGUUACAAUUUUGUAGAGACAUAUGCUAGAUCAUUCUCAGUCUUUAUUUGUGCAGGUAUACCCAUAACUGCCAUCACCUCUAGAAGGUGUGUAAUAACAGAAUCAGCUUUUACAGAGUUAAGAACAGUAGCACAUUGGAACCCUGAGAAUGUGUCUAUAGUAUGAUGCACGUAUUUCAAAUUUCCAAAUUCUCCAAAGUGAAAUAUAUCCAUCUGCCAAACCUCAUUUCUCUUAAUGACCUUAGGAUUACAACUUGCUGGCAACGGAGUCUGAUUAUAAAAGGAACAAGUAGGAGAGUUUCUCAAUAUCUUCUUGGCUUGUUGCCAAGUGAUAGAGAAGUCCUUUUUCAAACCUUUGCUAUAUACAUGAUGUUUCUUAAGAAAUUCUGAGGCUUCUAGCACACUUCCAAUUAAUAAAUGAUCAAUCUCAUCAUUGCCUUGUGCUAGUGGGCCUGGCAGACCCUUAUGGGAUCUGAUAUGUGUAAUGUAUAUAGGAUUACUUCUGUUUCUGAUUGUUUCCUGUAAUUGUAAAAACAGAGAAGUUAAUUCUGUAUUAUCAGGAAUGAAUUCUGCAGUCUCAAUGUAUAACAUGACUCUCUCUGCAUAUUGAAAAUCAGUAACUAUAUCAAGAGGUUCCAUAAAAUCCAUAAGCACCAUGAGAUUUGAAUAAAUUCUGCCUUCUGUACAGAUAUAUACAAACUUUGAACUACUUUACUUACCUCACCUGCUUUAUAACCUGCCUUACCUGAUUUGUUGGCAUAAGUGUAGAAGGUAAGAACUCCAGAAAUGGGAGUUUGUCUAAUAAUACUGGAAGAAUCCAGACUGUCUCUUUAUGAAUUUAAUUCUGUCUUUUUGGGAUAGUUGUUGCUAAUCAUUCCCAAAAAGUCAGUAAGAGCUAUUUGCCAAUAGUCAUUAUUCUUCCACAAGGAGAAAAUUUCUUCAUUGGUUAAAGGCACUAUAAUUUCUGCUGGAUCUUUUCCAGUCAGUUGAAGAAGUCUUAAUUUAUCCUUUAGAAUCUAAUCAGAAUUCUUUUCUAUAUAUGUCUUUAACUUUUUAUUCUAUUUAUGUGGCAAAAAUAUACAAUCCAAUAUGGUGUCUUCCUUCUGCAUCAGAAUCCCAGAAGGGUAUUUUCUGGAUGGCAACAUAACCAGAAUACAGUCUAAAUUAAGGUUUAUCUGAUCUACAUGUGCAUCCAAUAUUCUGUUUUCUACCCAUUGUAAUGAUUUUCUGCCUCAGCGGAUGAUAUUCGUGGACUGCUUAGGUCCUUAUCACCUUUAAAGGCCAUUUUUAAAUGCUUUAAGUCAUGUCCUUCUACUCCAAUAAUCGUCUGUAGUUGAUAAAUUUCCCCUAAUAAUUUCUGAAGUGAAUUAAGAGUUUGAUAAUUAUCUCUCCUAAUUUGUACCUUUUGAGGUCUGAUUCUUUGUAAAUCUAUCUUGUAAACUAAAUAGUUAAUAGAAUCCCUUCUUUGUAUCUUUUCUGGGGCAAUCUGUAACUCCCAAUGAAGCAGAACUUCCUUCACCAUUUCAAAAAUAUGUUCCAGAGUUUCCUAUUUAGAAUCUGAUAAAAGAAUAUCAUCCAUGUAAUGAUAAACAAGAGAUUGUGAAAAUUUCUUACGAAUUAUUUCCAAAAGUUGCUGUAUAAAGUGCUGACACAAAGUAGAACAAUUUAGCAUUCCUUGUGGCAAAACCCUUCACUGAUAUCUCCUAACUGGCUUUGAAUUAUUGAGUUGGUACAAUAAAUGCAAAUUUUUCUCUAUCAUUUUCCUGUAACAGUAUUGUUAAAAACAGUCUUUUAGAUCAAUGUCUAUGAUUGGCCAUCCUUUAGGUAUUAAGGAAAGCAGAGGAAUUCCAGGUUGAAGAGAGCCCAUUGGUUGAAUUACCUCAUUUAUGGCUCUCAGGUCUAUCAGCAUUCUCCACUUACCUGACUUCUUUUUGAUGACAAAUACAGGAGAAUUCCAAGGACUGGUAGAUUCCUUUAUAUGUCCAGCAUCCAGCUGUCAAUGUACUAACUUUUCUAAAGCCUCUAGCUUCUCUAUCUUCUCACAAGCCAUUGUCCUACCCAAACAAGUUCAUCUGUAAGCCACUUCAAAUGGCCGGGCCUUUGGCUCUUCUGAUGGUCUAUCAUUUGUACCUAGUUUCUGUACAGCCUGGAUGGUUGGUAACCAUUUUCCAUAGCUUCUUACCAGAUCUUUUCUACUAUCUAUAGAUUGUACAUAAUUUGUUUCUGACACUGGAGAAAUAUUAAUCUGAGUGUUCCAUUGCUGUAAGAGAUCAAGACCCCAGAAAUUUAUAGCUAUAUCUGCCAUGUAUGGUUUCAGUCUCCUUUACUGUCCUUCUGUUCCAAUGCAGAACACCAGUUGAACACUCUGUCAAACUCUAGAUAGGGUUCCAAUUCCUAAAAAUUGUACAUUCGCCUCUCUAAGAGGCCAUUUCUGAGACCAAGACUUUUGGGUAAUAAUAGUCACAUCUGCUCCAGUGUCUUAUAAGCCAAUAAUAACUUUAUUAUUAAUUCUCACUUUCAAUUGUGGGCUUUUAUCAUUAAUAGAAGUUUGCAAAAUAUGUGUUUCUCAUUUUGUUCAGUCAUAGUUGAUUCUUCAUCACUAGCCAAACUACCAUCUACAGCAGUGUUAUUUUUCACAAAUGGCUGGACCUUUCUCAAUGUGGGGGCUGUCUUGAGUCCCCCCUCAGGGUUUCACAACCUUAACGGGUUUCCUUGCAUGUCCCUGAUCAAUCUACAUUCAUUGAUCCACUCUCUGCCCUUACCACAUCUUCUACACAAUCCAGAAGGCAGUGGCCUUCCAUAUGGCAUUGUUAGAAUUCCUUUAUCUACAAUUUCUCUUGAUAUGUCCCAUUCUACCUCAGCUGAAGCAUCUAGGUUCCUGGCGCCUUCGUGGUCUCCUGGAAAAGGCCCUUCCUACCCAAGGUUCCUCUAUUACUACUAUGAACCAGAACCUUGGUACCUAUGUUGACCUCUGGAAGGUGCUGCUCCUUCCCAAGCCCUUGCAUCCUCACCUCUAGAACUUUUAAUCUCCUGUUGCCUUUUUAAACCUUUUGAUAUUGCUUCUCCUACCCAUGCUCCAGUAUCUUGCACAUUAUAGUCUAUGUUGGCUGCAUGCAAAACCCAUUCUUCUAGAGGAGCUGAUCUGAUCUUUAAAGGCAAAACUAUUCUUUUGCAUAUUGGGUUUGCAUUUUCAUAAGCUAUUGUAUAUAUAAUUGAUUGUCUUGUUUCCGGAUCUGUUACCUGUAAUUCUACUGCCCUAGUUAAUCUUUGUAUGAAGUCCUGGAAUUGUUCUGUAGGUCCCUGUUCUAUUCUGGCAUAAGCUUCUAGGUGUUCUCUUGGCUCAUGAACCCUAUCCCAGGUUUAUUGUUGCUUUCCUGCAUAGGAACAGUAUAUGGUCAUCAUAUUCAGCCUGAGCCUAUGGCUUAGCAUAAAUGCCCUCACGAAGAAUCUUAUCUCAGGGGAUUUCAUAUCCUUCCUUUAUUAUUUGACACUCAAGGAGCUUCACUUCCACCCUGACCAAUGCCCUCCUUUGUAUUUGGCAUGAAUUCUCAAGUACAGCUGCUACCAAUUGUCCCCAAUCUGUGGGUAUCACCCUCUUAAAGGUUGCCCAUGUAUGUAAUAGCUGUUUUACGUAUAGGAUAUGGAGACCAUAUGAGACAACUGAUUCUUUAAUAUUCUUAAGAUCCUUCAGCUGUAUAGGUUGCCAUACAUAAGCCCUGAGGGUGUUUCUUAGAAGCUGGCUUUUCUACCAUGGUAAUUGGGUAGACUGAUGGUAUAUGAGUAACAACCUUAGAAAAAUAGUCAUGAUACCUGGGUGGAGUAGGUGCCUCAGAUUGGAGUGAUUCUUCUCUGAAGGAUCCCAUAAUGAUAUCCUCAUGCAAGGUUUCAAUUUCUUGCAUCAUAAAAGAUUCCAAGCAUGUAGUGAAUCUGUAAAUUGCUCUAACUGAUCCUCUACAUGUUUUUCUAGGUCUUUAAUAUGCUUAUCCUUAGACAGCAUCUAGAUGGCAUGGAAACUGCUUUCUAGGUAUUGGAGUCUAGAUUCAAGGUCAUGAUUUGCUGAUAUUUAGUCCCCAGAAAUUGACCAUAUGGACCCAUCUAAUCUGUCAGCCUUGUUCUGUAAACUAUCUUAGAAACAUUUGAAUCUAGACUCAAAUUUGUGAUCUGCUACCUUAGAUGCUUCAAUAAUUGAUUGAAUGACAUUGUCCAAUUCUUCAACCCUAUCCUGGGUAUUUUGCACCUUUGCAUCUAGUUUCUGGGUCACAGAGCCUAUCUGAGUUUCUAGCUCACUACGGCUACAGAUAUUCUUUAGUUCAUCAUGGUCCUCUGACAGCCUAGCCUCUAAUACCUCAGAGAUGGAGGAUCUCUCUUUUUUUUAAUCUUAUGGUAAAUAGGCUGCAUCUCAUCUUGGGUAACAGACAGCUCUGUCUUUAGUGUAUUGGACACAGAGCCAAGCUUAUCAUCCAAUUUCUGUUCCACUUGCUGCACAAUUGUGUGGCCUGACCUAAUCUGUUCUCCAAAACCUCAUUGCCUAAAGUUUUAUUUCCUGCAAGCAGGCGGUGAGGUUAUCUUUGUCCCUGUUCCUGGGACCUCUGGCUAGUAAUGUUAUUUGUACCAGCAAGCUAACUAUCAUUACUGAAUAUAGGCCGGUAAUUGGCAGAUUACCGUCCUCCUCCAACACUGACUUCAUGUAAUAAGCAAAAUUAUUACCAUUUUUAGCAAAUAAUAAAUAUUCUGCCAUAAUUUUACCAGAUGAUUUCUAAUCCAGAUGCAGAAACUAUCUUUGCCCAGCAGGUGGUGCAGGCAUUCAGUUAGUCCACACAUUUUUUGGCAAUGGUGGGUCACGCAAGAUGGCAAUGGCAUCAGUUGUGGAGCUCAGGUUACACAGGCGGCUGUGCUUUAGCUGGAAGCAUAUGUCCUUGUGUGUGGCUUUAUGGCCACACAGCCAGGGGAAGCUAUGGAACCUGCUGUAGACCUACUCCCAAGGCCUACUCAGUUCAAGGGCAGGAGGCAUCCAGGCGCAGUUAGGCCACAGUCCUGGCUGGUCCUAUGCACACAGUGUUAAAUCCGAGGGGGUCUAGAGAACUCUCCCAGUUGGGAAAACUGUUCUGAGCAGUUCAAGGGCAGCCAGAAUGUGCUUGUGUGGUGCAGCAGGUUGUCUGCUAGCAGGGAGCACAUUUGGAGAGAAGAAGCUUUCCGGGCCUAGACUGCCUUUCUGGUGGGACCUGCAGACUCUCCCAAAAGGGGCCUAAGUUUACAAGAUCCUGCUUCUGACAACCAGAUAAUGUGGGAAAUUACCAAUAGGGAGCCAGGUAAAAAUACAAGGGAACUUAAUAAGGAAAAGCCUUACUUACAGAGUGACCUAGCCAGCUGGCAGGGCAGCAGGAACUACAGCAAGCCGAAGAUGAUAGUGAAAACAGGGCCACCACAUAAGCAUCCCUCCCUCUUCAACUUUCCCUACCUCACCCUGUCCAUGAUCUUGCAGGUGUGGUAAGAUGUGGCUACAGCAUCCCCUACACCUUACUUUACUUUAUUCAUUCUAUUCCAUUAUUUUUCUUUAAAUCUUUACAACCUCAUUCUAUCUCACUCUCUUGAAAGCCAAUAUCCAUGUUUUUCUUUUACUAAGUUACUGACUUGUAUUAGUAUUCCAAAUAAAACCACAUAUCUGUGGAUUCAUCAAGUUAUUUGAAGAAACUUCUAAUUAAUUUCAACUGUGUUUACAUCAGCUAUGAAUAAGUUCUUUUUCUGUCCAUCCACACCAGCAUAAAAUCCUACCUGUUUUCACUGGAGUAAGAUGAUAUCUUAAAUUUAUUUAAAUUUGUAUUUCCCUGAUAGAUAAGGAUCAGCAACCCAUGUAAUAUUAUGGAUAACUAAUUCACAUUAAAACACCGAAGUCUCAACAAAUUUAGGAAAAUUAGAAUACUAUCCUGAAUUUUAACUUACCACACUGGAAUAGAUCUUGAUAUUAACAGCCAGAGAAACUGCAGAAUGUACAAAGACUCAUGCAAAAUAAACAGCACACUACUGAAUGAUAAUUGAGUCAAUAAAGAAGUGAAAAAUGAAAAUUUAACUUUUAGGAUUUCUAGAGUAAUCAAGUAUACAGAGCACAUAUCUCAACAUAGUAAGGGUAAUAUACAGCAAAAUCUCAUCUUGCUAAAUAGAGAAAAACAUGAAAGUAUUUUCCCCAAAACCAAGAAUAAGACAAAGAUGUCCCCUCUCCCCCAUCUUCUUCAAAGCAGAAUUUGAAGUUUUAUCUAAAAAAAUAAUAUAAGUGGCCGAAAUAUACAAAUAAGAAAAAAAUAAAUCAAAGCAUCAUUACCAUCUUAUGAUAUUGUUCUAUGCAUAAAAGUCCUUAAAUUCCACUAGAACAUUCCUCUAGCUAAUAAACACAUUCAGCAAAGCAGCAAGAUACAAAAUUAACAUGCAAAAAUCAGCAGUUUUCCUAUAUAAAAAGCGUAUUCACACUAAGCAAUGAAUCAGGGAGAUAACACCAUUUGCAAUACCCUCAAAAAUAAAAUAAAAUGCCUUAGAUAGAAAAUGAAAAAAGAUACCACAAGGUGAAAAGACCUUCAAUGGUCAUGCCUUGACUGGGAUAAUAUUGUGAAAUGGCUAUUGUAACAAAGCAAUCUACAAAUUCAGUGCUAUCUCCAUCACAAUUCUGAUGAUAUUCUCUUGAGUAAUUUAAAAAAAAAAUCAUUUUAAAUUCCAUAUAGAAAAACAAAAGAACCAGGAGAGCUUAAUCAAUCCUGAAUAUGUUUUAUAAUUUAUUUAUUCUUUUAAAUUUCAUUUCACAUUCCAUCCAACCUCUCAUCCCUCCCUCCUUGUCCCCCCAGCCCAUCCCCAAUUCAAUCCUCCUUAUAGGUAAGGGCUCCCAUGAGGACUCAACAUAGUUUGGCACAAUAGGUUGAGGUGAGGUCUAGCCCCUCUCCCAAACAUUAAGGCUGAGCCUGGCAUCCCACCACAGGAAACGGGAUCCAACAAACUAGCUCAUGUACCAGGAUUGUAUCAUGGUCCAGCUGCCAGGGAACCCUCAUAUAGUUCGAACUUCACAACUGUCUCUUCCAUAUGGAGGACCUAGUUCAGUCCCCUGGAGUCUCUACAGCUGUCAGUCUAGAGUUAACGAGUUUCCAUAAGCUUGGUUCAGCUGUCUCUGUAGAUUUCACCAUCAUGUUCUUGAUCUCUCUCCCUCAUAUAUUCCCUCCUCCCACUCUUCGACUGGAAUCCCAGAGCUCAGCCUGGUGAUUGGUUGUACACCUGUGUAUCUGGUUCCAUCAAUAACUGGAUGAAGACUCUAUGAUGAUAGUUAGGGUAGUCUCCAAUCUGAUUACAUGGGUAGGUCAGUUUGUUCGCUCUCUCAAUUAAUGAUAGGAGACUUAGCUGGGAUCAGUCUUGCAGAUUCUUACAAAUUACCCUAACACCAUGUUUCUCCCUAAUCCCAUAGUAGCUCUCUCAGUUAAGAUAUCUCUUUCAUUGCUCUACCAAUAAAUACAUCUCCCAUCUCGACGAUCCCAUUCCCUUAUGUUCUCAUCAGCCAAUCCCUCCCUAUUACCAGCCCUUGCCCCCAGUUUACCCUAUAGAUCUCAUCUAAUUUCCCUACCCAGGGUAAUCCAUGUAAGAAAUUUUGGAAUCAGUCUACCUCAAGACCUAGCGAUACCACUCUUGGGCAUAUACCCAAAAGAAUGCUCAAUCAUACCACAGGGAUAUUUGCUCAGCAAUGUUCAUAGCAGCACAUAGCAGCUAUUUGUAAUAGCCAGAACCUAGAUGCCCCUCGAUUGAAGAAUGGCUAAGGAAUUCUGAAUAGUUUUGAAACACUUGCUGUUGAUAUUCGCAUUCUAGAUUUCAAGGCAUACUACAGAACUAUAGUAAUAAGAACAGCAUGAUACUGGCAAUUAAACUCACAUAUUGAUUAAUGGAGUAGAAUUGAGGACAUGUAUAUAAGACCAUAUUCCUACUGUCAACUGAGUUUUGGCAAAGAUGCCAAUAAUACAUACACUGGGGAAAUGAUAUUCUCAAUAACAAAUGAAGCUGGUCAACUUAAUAGGUACAUGUUGAAGAAUGAAUCUAGAUCAUUGUCACGCAUGCUAAAAAAAUAUCAACUUCAAAUGUAUCAAGGACCUCAUAUAUGGGGUCUUAUAGCUAAAAAAGUAUGGAAUGUGCUUUAACUUAAAGGUACAGGAAAGGAUUUCCAGAACAGGACCAUAGUAGCACAGGCAUUCAGAGCAGUAAUUCAUGGUAACUUAUGAAACUCACCACAUAAAUAAAGAAAUUGCCCAUAGAAUAGGGAAAAUGGUACUAGCUAUACAUCUGAUAGAGAGUUAUAUCCAGAAUAUACAAAGAAAUCUCCCCACACACAAAAAAAUCAAGAUCUGGUUAUUAGUUGAGUGAAAAAAAUUAAAUGGUUAGAGAACAAUAAUAAUAAUCACCCCCCCCCCAAUUUUAAGGUGCAACAUGAGAGCAUGGGUAUGAUAUUGGAAAGAGUAUUGGGGACCAUUUUAAAUUCAAUUAUUAUGGAAGUAUUGCUAGAGUCUAGAUAGUGAAUAGGUAAACUGUAGACAAAGUAGAGAGUGAUGAUAAACAGAAGCUAGAGUUCUUGAAACAGAAUAUUAAAAUGUGCCUGUUAAUGAGAAUAUCAAAUUUUAAAUAAUAAACAUUAAGAAUGUGAAGGUGGAAAAAAUGGAUGGAGCACUGGAAAGGUUUAAAAUCAAAAAUUUAGUGUAAGUCAGUCACCUAUGCACUAUUAAUAAAUGGCUCUUGGCAAGCAAGAAUCCAGGUGCCAUCCUUAUAAGACUAAGAAGAAGAAUAAUUUUAUGAAAUUUUAUAAUUAGAGAAUUUCCAAAAUGACAAAGUAAAAGAGUGGGAGAUUCAAUGAGAACUCUCCUCAUCUCCAAAAUACACAGCAUAAAAAUUCUCUUUAUUAGUGGAAGUCAGUAACAUAGUAGCUUCAGAGUACAGUGAGAUGAGAACACAAAGAUGACCCAACCUUUAGAGAUUCAACAGAGUCCACAGCUCAAGUGGUGUCCAAUAGGCCUAGGGGAAUGAAACUCUCCAUCUCAGAUGGAUGCUAAAAGCUUCCCCAAAAGUCACGCCAUCUCUUCCCUAAUGUAAAGAGUCAGUUCAAUGUACAAUGAGCAGCUGUUUUCCUGAACAAUAAAUCUAUGGCAUACUGUUUUAACUCCUUUACAUCAUUAAGAAAGGCAUUUGGAUGAAGUAGAGUAAGAGCAAGAAUAAACUAGAAAGAUGCAAAUUAGUAAAUAAUUACAUAUUGAAUAUUGAAAGUCCAUAUUCAUUAAGGAAAUCUCACAAGAAUAGUAGUGUAACUAUGGUGUAAACCUUAAAAGUGAAGUAACACCUGAGUUCAUCUUCACUAUUAUCUUCUGGUCUAGAAUUUAUGGUUGGACUUAAAUUUAUGAGCAAGGCUACCAAGUAUAAAAAUAGCAUUUCCAAUUGUUUUUUUGUUCUGUGGAGAACAACAACAAAACGUAUUUCAAAAAUUGAUCUUGAAACAAGGGAACACUGCUGGACAUAUACUUCAGCCAAGCGCUUAGAAAUAUAGAGUCAGAGGUAGUCCAUGCAAACAUCAAUCCUGAUGACUGCACACACAUCUCGGUUUCCUCUGAAAAGAACUAUAUGCUAUUUCUGAGUGAAUACUGAGAACAUAGUCUGAAACAUAAGAACAUUUGCCUUUGUUAUUAAUAGUAUCAUUCUGAUAAUUCGAAAGGUACAACCCAUGGGGUGUUUUCCUGUAACAGAAUAAAGCCCGUUAUUUUCCUUGAGGUUUUGUUGUCCAAGUACUGAUUACUCUCUAUCAGCUUCAUAUCAUCACUAUUAAAAAAGUAACUUUUUCACUGGCAUUGAUUUUCAAGUUUUUGGAUACAGCAUGCAGAAUAAGACAAAUUCUUAGUACUAAAUUUGACUUUACAUAGAUCCCACAUGACCAAUAUCUUUUAGAGUCUCUAUCAUAUCCUUUUGACCCAGAAACUUGUCAGUUGUAAUCUGUUAGAAAGGAAAUUCCAUAAUGUGAAGGAUCCUUUGUAUUCAGUAUCGUCUCUUAAAUGUCUUCAGUAGUAUCAAGUACCUACAAUGUGCCUAAUAAUGUUUCCACUGGCAGUUAAUAUGGCCACCAAGAUUAGUUUUCUUUCAUGCUCUUAGAAUACAGUCACAUCCUCUUUCCUUACAUUUUUCUCCUUCCUUUCCUACCCCAAUGGGCCCUUUCCCAUUUAUUACUUAAAAUCUACUGCAUCGUGAUAGAAACCAAGCAAAGAGUUGGUAAUGGGUACAUGAUGUGAAAUAGGCUUCCCCUUUAUAAGACUUGGAAUGUUUGUUCAUGAAAACACAUCUAUAAUUAUUGUCUCAUUCUCAUGCAUAUCAUGGUUUCUUUUACAUGUUAAUUUUGGGAAAUCUGUUUAUUCUUUGUCAAAUAAGAAACAAUAGGAAAUUAGAAGAAAUUUAAAUUAAUUGUCUGCCAACAAGAAGUGAUGUAUUGAGAUGACAAGGAGAGAGUCAGAUUCAAAGUUAUGGUAUUAGUAUUUUUCUCCACUGUCAUGAUAAUUUAUACCCAUAUAAAUUAUUGCUUAGUUUGACUACCUCAUUCUUUUCCCAUUUAAUUCUUUAUUACAUUUAUUUCUUUACUUCAUGUAUUCAUGUAGAGAUCAUAGGACAUCUUUCAGGAGAUGGCCCUCUUCACUCUUUCUACAAUGUGGAUCCCAGGGGUUAAAUUCAGGAUGCCAGGUGUGGCAUCAAACAGCUUUACCAACUGUUCAAUCUCAUUACUAUCCUUGAUUAUCCUUAAUCAAAGUUUCAUUACUUUUUUUCGAAUGACCCUUUAAAUGUCAAUGAAUUGAAUAAAAGGAAACUUGCCUUUACUGUUGGGACAAUUCUCUGUAAUUGAUACAAACAUUAUAAACUUGAAAAGAAAGGCUUGAGUGACAAAUAGCAAACUUUUCAGGAGUUACAUGUCUAUCUGAUGUUUUAUUAGUCUUUAUAUUGCUGUAACCCAACCUGACAGAGUAAAUUAAGGGAGGAAAGAUUUAAUUUGUUAACAUGUUGAGAGGUCAGUCCAUCUUGGCAAGAAGAGUAUAGUGGAACAUGGAUGUUCAUGUCAAAAAGGCCAGGAAAUGGCAAUAGGGAGAACCUUGCAUAGCUCAUGGGAUAGUAGUGCCCAUGUCUAAGAUGGGGCACACAUAUACAGUUCAAACACACACACACACACACACACACACACACACACACACACACACACACACACGCAUCUCAGUUUCUUAGGUUAUUCUACGAUACACUCAUAUUGAUAAGAUGAACCAUCAUAGAUUUUAACCAAGAGAAUUUGUUUAAAAAUCUUAGUGCAAAACUUUUCUGAGCUGUAGACGCUGAACUAAGCUAUAUAAAAUAUUUUUAAAUAGAGCAGGUUAUGUGAUAAACUGUUAAGACACCAUAGAUUUAUUAUUGGGAAAAGAUUAGGAUAAAACUUUAAGUGGUCUUUCCCGUCACUGAUAAUUUCAUGUUUGUCACCACUAACCUUGUAAAUAGUGCAUAUGCUACAAAAUCAGCAGUCCUAGUUUGCAACACUCUCCUACUUAUAAAAUUCAGUUCCGAGCAACUUCUCCAAAAGCAAUGACAAUAAAAAUGCAAAGUAUUUUAUGCAUCUGUCUGUUUUAUGGUAUGUGGAUUCUAAACUCUGAAAAAACAAACAAUUUAAAGAACUAAGAAAGCCCAGAGGUGGAGGCACAUGCCUUUAAUCUCAGCACUCAGUAGGCAGAGGCAAGUUGAGUCCCAGGACAGUUAUUGCUGUUACACAGAGAAACCCUGUCUCAAAAAACCAAACUACUACUACUACUUCUACUAAUACUACUAAUACUACUACUACUACUAAUAAUAAUAUAACAAUGAAAGGAAGGAAGGAAGAAAUUAAGAAAGAACUGAGGAAGGCCUGUGAAUGACUCUCCUAGACAUGUAAAGAAUUGACUAGAACUGUGGAAGCACUGAGUACCCAGAGACACUGUCCUGUAGUGCUAGGUGGGUUAAUGGGUUCAGUUAAGCUAAUGGCCUAAGAACUUUCUUCAGUGCUUAGCCUUUUCCUUCAAGGCCCCUGCAGGUGUGUCUGCAGAGCAGCAAUGUCAGGAGUUUAACAACACAGUCCUUUUUUGUCUCAAGACAGCUGUUGUGAUUAACCAGACACACAUCACUUGCUGUGCCACAGCGGAAUGAGUUUGUGGUUCACUUUUGCUAAAUUAGUACCCACUGAGCACAGCAAAUAUUUAAAAUGUCAAUCCACUUGAUAAUGUCAGGGAGGCCUUCAAAUACUGCAAAAUGGCAUUGAGGAAUCAUUCCACAAAAGGGGCACAUAACAUCUCUCUACUUCAAAGGAAAAUGGGAGUUAAAUGGAAACAGGAAACCUCUGAUGGAGUUAGGAAGGCCAUCCAGUUUAAUAACUCUACCUGAAUCAUGAGUUUGUCACUCACUCUUUUGUCUAUUCUUACAUUCAGAAUAAGUGCUUGAACAUUGAUUCAAAUGCACUGCUGUGGUUGGAGAAUUCAUUUAUAUUAACACAAAAUUUGAAAGUUCUUACUACAAAAUCUAUGUGUCAUUCUCUUUCAAUCUACAGGUGUUUUGACCAAAACUCCAACACUACAUGAAAACUUCAAAUCAAGUAACAACUCUAGCUUUUCAUUAAAUAUUUAACUCCAAAGGGAAGUAAGGCAAGCUUCCUCAGGCAGCAGAUGGGAGCAGAUGCAGAGAACCCCCAGCCAGACAUUAUGCUUAGUGAACACCUAAAUUGGUGGUCUCAUUGGAGCUUAUGGAACUCUGGAGAAGAGAGGGAGGAAGGAUCAUAGGAGUCAGUGGGGAUGGAGAAUACCAAGAGAACAUGGCCUACUGAAUCAACAAGGCAAGGCUCAUAUGGACUCACAGAGAGUGAAAUGGCAAGCACUGGGCCAGCAUGGGUCUGAACCAGGUCUGUGUACAUGUUGUGGCUGUUGGCUUGGUGUUUUGUAGAACUUCCAGCUGUGGGGGAGGGUAUGAAUCUGACUCUUUGCCUGCUCUUGGGACUCUUUUCCUCCUACUUUUUUUUUUUUUUUUUUUUUACUAUGUCAAGCUUCAGUGUAAUGUUUCUUGCCUUGUCUUUCUGUAUUUUGAUUUGUAGUGUUUGGUCAUUGUCUUUUUGAGGCCUGCUCUUUUUGGAUGGUAGGAGUAAGCCAGGAGGAGUGUAGGGAGGGUAAACUAAGGUUCAGAUAUAUUGUAUGAGACAAAAGUCUAUUUUCAAUGAAAGGAGGGAAGGUAGGAAUAAAGGAAGGAAGGGAAAAAGAAAGUUAAAGAUGGCAUAAAGAAGAAAGGAAGGAAAACAAAUUUCCAAGCCCAUUUUUGUUCUGUUAAUUUCUUAACUAAAUGUUCUAUAAGGCAUGUUUUAUCCCAAUAAUUACAGAUGUUUUUCACAGACUCUUUAGUCCACUACUAAAUCCUGCUUUAAAAACACAAUUGUUGUAUUUGAAAAAACAUAACCUAAUUUCAUGUAACAUGACACAGUUAAAAUAGUGGGUGUGGAGACAUCAUAGAAAUCAAGCUGCGUUAAGUUCAUGCCAAGUAUUGUAUUCGAUGUGAUGCUGAGUGUUCAUUUAUCACUCUUCCUUGUGUCUCCAUCCCUGUAAUUAUUAAUCACUCAGCUGUCUUUCUGGGGUAUUUCUCUAUUUAUUCAUUAUCAUGCACCAUUUUCCAGUCUGUUAUUCCAACAUAAUGAUUCAGAUGCAGUCAGCAACAUCGAAUAUGCUCUCAUAUUUUAGAAUUGUUAAUUCUUCUUAAUUGUAAAUCAAAAUCCCAGCAUGAUACUUAUUGUAAUGGAGAUGGGCAGCUCUUUGUUAUCACCUAAGGCUGAAGGUACAGGGAGUUCAGUUACAAGGGGAAACUAUAUGUAGACUGGGGUUUUUAUGUGGGUCUUGUAAUUAUUUUAAGCAUAUGCAUGAUAUAGCUACUUUUAUAUUUUUGGGAAAAAACCACUCCAUUUACUCUGGGGUGAUGCACCAUGGAAUAGCUUGUGAUGAUUCAGAAAAAUGAGGUCCUUACUUCUGUACUUUAUAUGAUAAGGUAUUAUAUCUUGGACUAUAGGGACAGCGUCAGAAACAACUCCUGCUUCACAUAUAACACAGACUUCUGACUUUGCCAGUGUCGUUGAAACUGACAGUGCUCAGAACCAAGCACAAGUGUCACUGAAUACUUCGGUGUGAUGUCAGGAAGAGAGGUGCAGUUUGGGGGUAAUAUACUGUGAACCCCUUGUGUAAAGGUGCACUCUAAGUCAUAGCAGAGGAAAUGGAAGGAAGGGGGUAUUUUUCUUUUUUUAUAUUUAUUUGAAUUACAAACAAGAUUGAAUUACAUGACAAUCCCAGUUCCCUUCUCCCUCCCUUCCUCCCCUAUCACCCCCCCAAAAGUCAUGAGGGAGCAGAAAGGUUGAGUCAUGGGGUAUUUUCUUUUUAAAUACUGAAAUUCCUAAUUUUUAAUGGUUUGAAAAUGGAACAUGAGCUUUCAGGAACCUAUAAGAAGGCAGGAAUGUAUGAGGAAAGAAACAGGAUUGAAGGUGGUGUUAUGCCAAUUAAGUGAUAACAUGUAACAUUUAGAGAUGGAGACAUUCACAGUAUCAAAAGUUUUUGAAAAUUCUUUCAUGAUAAAUAAUAAAAUGUCAAGAAAAUUUAAAGAUAGUGUCAUUUCAAACCACACUGUAAUGAAGUAAUACAUACAAAAUUUCUGGAAGAAAUUAUUGACAGGAAUGAUACACGAUUUCUUUGCAAAAUUUGCCUGUGAAAUGAUAAUGAGAGUAGAAUGGUUUGGAUAGACCACUGUAUUCAUCAUCUUUGCUAAUGUUCUGGUUGAUAUACCUUGAAAUACUUGAUUAUGGUUACAUAUUACAACAAGAAAAUGGAUUGAUAAAAGCAAGAGUACUGAGUAAUUCAGAGAGAAUAUAUAAAAAUUAUGAGGUGUAAAAUGUAGGUAGAAAAGCAGAAUCUAUAUGUACUUUUAUUAUUAGGGAAGAAAGGUGAAAAGAUUAAUGUGUUAGUUUACAUUUCAGUAGUUGUGGUAUUUUAUGUUUGUAUUCUGAUGAUUACCAGUUUGUUUGAAAAUCAGGGACUUCACUCUAGGUGAUGGAAGGGGAUGGAAAGUUAGAAACAUCACUUGCUGCAUGCAGGAAAACAUUAUUCCUCUUAAGGAAACAACCAGAGAAACUCUUAUUUCUUCUGAAGGGACACCUCCCUCAGCAAAUAUCAAUUAUCAUUAAAAUAACAAAAAUCACAAAACCUCAACAACAUGUGAUGUUACAAAAUAUUCACUAUAAGAUGGACACCCUUGAAUUGCUCAUAUCUGAGAUGAAACCAAUUUGAUAUUUAGAAUAAGAAAAUUUCCCUGUCAGUAAGUAUAUUUUCCUUUCACUUUGCUAGCAUAGUAUUUCAACUACUUUCAGAUGUGUUUAGAACAAUACCACUUCUUUUUUUCAAAGGCCUUGUAAGUUAAUUACUGAAAGCCUGGUAUUCAGACAGAGACCUCAGUGUGUAUGGUUUUGGGGACCGAGUUUCUCUGUAUUGGAUUGGAGCCUGCCUGGGAUCCCCUGCUGUAGACCAGGCUGGAUUUGAACUCACAGAGAUCUACCUGCCACUGCCUCCUGAGUGCUGGGAUUAAAGAACAUUUCUUUGAAGCUUUCAUCACUGAGCUCAUCCUUCAGAUUCAUACUCAGUAUGUUCAGGGGACUCGGCCAAGAUCUCUCUGCCCUUGCUGAUCCAGAUUCACAAUGUUCAAGCAAAGAUUGCUGCUCUCAGACAUGGUCCCAGACAAGAAGAAAAAUAACUCAUGUGGAUUUAGAAGAUGUUUGUUGGAGCAUAAGAAGAGAAACAAGAGUAGAAAAGAAAUAACUAUGAGGUGAUAACACUGUUCAGAAAAUUUAACACUGAUGACCAGGUGGUACAAAUAUUUAUGAUAAUAACCCCUGAAUUGUAUACUUUAAUGGGUGAAAUGUAUGAUAUGCCUUAUAUAUGAAAAUUUUUAAAUUAUGAAAGAGGAUAUAAAAUAUGCUUAUAAAAUAUACUACACAUACCAUAUUAUAAUAACAAAUUCCAUAAGGUCCCAAACAGCAUAAUUUUUCAAACUACACAUGAAUAGCUAAAGUAAAGCCACAUAUUACACAUUCUUAUGAUUGGAAAAGAAAACUGAAGCCAAAAUAAUAAUAAUGAAAUAAUUUAUAUAGUAUUGUACAAUAAGUAACUAGAUAAAAUUACAUAUUUUUUUCUUAAUUUAUGUAAAAUUUAAUAUCUAGGGUUGUCUCUAACUUAAGAUAUUUUCUACUUCGAACACUGCAUAAUUUGUUUACAUGAUAAUAUUAUUUUGUAGCUUUCAUUAGCUGAAAGUCACUUGGGUAUACUCAUUUGUUAAAAUUCAGUAGUUAUAUAUUUAUAACAUACGUGCUUUUACUCUGUAAAUGACUGUGCACAUAAAUAAAAUGAUUAAAAAGUGUUUAUGGAGAUCAUUCUAUUUUAUGAACUGACCUUUUGCCAUCUUGUGUCAGAAUUUAUCUCUUUAUUGCUUCCCAUCCUAUUUAAUGUUCUUAGCCACAUUUUAUCAAUAGCUUUUUAGUCAUUUAUAAGUAUUGCAUAAUGCUUGCAACUAUUUUCAAUGGGAUAAUAUUUUUCCUUUUAUGUUUCUAACAAGUUAUUAAAAUUAUGGAUAAAGCAUUCACUUUUAUAUCUCAAUCUGAUGUAUAGCCAAUUUUCCAAAGUCUUAUUAAUUUUAAUAAAUUAUCUCAGUUUUCUUGUAUUGCAGCUAUAUGUUUUGAGACUGAAGAGUGGUGUAGCUGGGAUUGAUUUUCAUUAAAUGUGUGCAUGAUAACACUGCAGACUGGCAACACGGGAGAUGCUGGAACCUCUAGAGGGAACUUCCUGGUGGGAACUUAUUAGGUUCCUGGGGAAAAUGUUUUGGAAGUCACUUGUGUUCAUCUGUUUCUAGAUCUUAGGCCUCUGAUCCCUGUAUUCAAAGAAACUGUUUAAUCUCCCCUGCAUUUCCACACUGACAUGUUGUUCUUUCCAGUCCCCAGGUAAGUGGUCCUAGACAUGAAGAAUUUUUGAAACUUUAAAUGUAAAUUAACCUCCUCACAAAUUACCUCAUGUAUUUUAAUUGUGUCAGGAAGCUAACAAAUAGUAAUGGGAUUUUUAAAAUUAAUUUAUUUUACUUCUUGUAAUUGCAUUCUAUUUUUACUUCAUUGUCCAAUCUAAAGUUUUACAAGUAAAAUCUUAACUGUCAGUGUUAUAAAUUCUGUUUUUGUUGUUGUUGUUAAAUGUGAAUUUUGUUUUAAAAAAACUGUUUGUUGUUGAGUGUUGACAUUUAUUAUAUUCUCUGUGUAAUUCCCUUACAUUUUAUUAUUAAUGGCUACUGAGUUGUGUUUGAUUAUUUGAAUCAUUUACUGACUUAACUAAAAUUAUUUCAUUAAUAUGUAUUCAUCAAACUCGCAUAGAUUCCUGUAUACUGUGAUUACAGUGGCAAGUUAAUCCAGACAUGUAUGCCAGCAACAAGUAUUUUUAUAUUAUGGCACAAAUACUGUGGAUUGUUUUUCCAGGUGUAUAAAAGAUAAAAUGAUUGAUGACAUGAAUUUCAUGAUAUUUUAGGAAGGAAAUGUUGCUAAUACAAUGACCCAAAUGUAGAGCAGAUUACAUAUAUUGUAGCACAAAAAAAUGAAAGACCCAGAAACAGAUAAUGGGACUCAAGCUUCAAUAUGAAGAUCAGAGAAACAAAGCAGCCAAGUCAGGUGAUCUAACUUCUACCAAGCUGAAAUGGCAAUCCUUUCUCCAUGAUUCUUUAGAUGGAGGUUCUGUUCCACUUGGUCCCACAGCCAUUUAGUCCCAAAUAAACACACAGAGGCGUAUAGUAAUUAUAAGCUGUUUGGCCGAUGGCUCAGUCUAGCUCUCCCUUAAAUAUUAACCAAUUUCUAUUAAACUAAGUAUUUCCACAUAGUCUAGGCUUACCUGAGAAUGCCUGGACUUGUUACUCCUUCGGCAGCUAUAUGGCAUCUCUCUAGAAGCUCACUCUUUAUGUCCUUUUCCCAGAAUUGUCCUCAUGGGGGAGCCUGGCCUAUCUUUCCUGCCUGGCUACUGGCCAUUCAGUGUUUAAUUCAUCAACAAAUAAGACAAACAUAUACUAGCAGAAUACAGAAGGACAUCCCCUAUUACAAAUCCUCAAAGGCAAAAGCUCUCAGUUCCUGUCUCCUCCUGCCUCUUAUUCCUUUUUCCACCUAGCCAUAUCAUUCCUGUCUAUACCUCCUUAGUGCUGGGAUUAAAUGCAUGUGAUCCUGGGUGCUGAGAUCAUCUUUGUAUGAGCUGUUUCUUUUAGGACUGGAACAAUUUCGUGCAGUCAGCAUGGCCUUGAACCAACAGAGAUCCUUUUACUUCUUAAUCCUGAGUCAAGGGAUUAGAGGUGUGUAAGACCACUGCCUAGCUCUAUGGAUGUCAGAUUAAACAUAUUAUCACUGCCCGAUCUGAACCCCCAGUCAAACUUUAUUAAAUAAUAAAUAAUAUAUCACCACAAUAUUUACAUAGUGAGCUGAAGGAAUGUUUGUGCAGAUAACUAGAGUGGGUAGGGAAGAUAUGUUCAAAGGAGAUAUAUGGAGACUUGGUCGGCCCAAAUCAUAUAUCCCAUGUGAGUUAGGGUGCAGUGAAUUAUGCAAAUAUGCUGACAAGUGCUGAGACACCCUUAAUUCUCCUAUAAUAAACUUUCUUUUGGUGGAUUAUUCAGAUAGUACACACCAAGAUUCCUUUAAUAUUAACUUACGUAUCUUGAUGAAGAGCAAUGAUAAAUACUUUUUGAACAGGAUUUCUGAGUUUUGAUUUUAUACUCCCUUUAGUUUACAGAAUUAAAAGGUUCAGGUGUUUUUUUAUAUGAACAGAUGAAAAGCUCAUCCUUUUGAGGACUGGUUAGGUGAGAUAUGCCAUUGAAAAGCCUCUCCCCCUGAAAGGCUGCAUGGACUUAUCAACCCUCCAUUAAAUUUUCACAUGAUCAAUAAGUCUAAUUCUUACAAUGUAUAUUCUCUUUAUUUGUGUGCUUAAUUAUUUUACAUUAUCCUAGAGUUUUCGAGAUUUUGCCAGUCAAUCAUCAAGUAUGUAAAGAUAUCAAAAAUCUUGCUGGGCACUGGUGGCAGAUGCCUUUAAUCCUAGCACAAGGGAGGCAGAAGCAGGCAGAUCUCUGUGAGUUCAAGGCCAGCCUGGUCUCCAGAGGAAGUGCCAGGAUAGGCUCCAAAUCUACACAGAGAAACCGUGUUUCAAAGCAAACAAACAAACAAAAGUCAAAAAUCUUUCUUUAUUGAAGUGACAGGGUAUUGAGCCUCAUAAACUAAUGUUAGUUUUAAUCUUCGUGACUGUAAUUGUAUAUACUUUUCAGUGUAAUGGGGCUAUUAGCUAUUUCUUUGUAAAUUUCUACUUUCUAAAGUGUCUCACUAUAUUAUUUUCAUUAUAUUUAUUACUUUAUAGUUUUGGAAAGUUUGCUAAAAAACCUCUAUUCUGAAAAAAACGUGUCAACUUCAUGUUUUAAAAAUCCAUCUGUUUUGUUCUUGUUUCUCUUUACCUUAAUUUGAAUUUAUUGUUGAAUUAAUUAUAAAUUAUUUUUCUAAUUUAUGUACAUAUUCACUUUCAUUUCACACACACACACACACACACACACACACACACACACACACACACACACACACACAAACUUGGUUAGUAGUACCCUUUAAGUUUUGUCAUGCUAUCUUCUUGAUUUUCAAUAUGUCAGUCAGAGAUGCUAUUUUGUUAUCUCCUAAUGUCAUGGUAAUUUUGUUUUACAACAUUGUGUGUUUAUGAUUAUCUAAUAUUUUAAACUGUAAAAUUUAAAUUCCUUUUGGAUUGAUAGAAGAGAUCUUCGGUAUAGUGAUUUCUGCUUGGAUGUACAAGCACUAUGAACCAUUUUAUAAAUAAAUGAUUAAAUUACAGUUUGAUAUAUGUUAAUUCAUGAGAAAAUUUAAAGAACAUUGUAUUAUCUUGAAUAUAGUUAAUCAUGCAGAAGUAUUAAAUGAGUGUAGACAUUGAAGAGAGGAAGCUGACAAAGGUAGAUUAAAAUGGAAACUACUUUCAUAUCUCUUUCAUUGCCAUAAUAUUUUAAUUCUUUUCUAAAAUUUUGAAACUUUAAGAAUAAUUGGUAACCUCUAAUACAUAUUGAAGUGGAAAUAUAUUCAGGGUAAAAACUCAAAGAAAAUGAUUACAUAGUUAUCAAUAUUAAAUCCUAUUUUAACUGUCAUUCUUGGAAAACUUAGAAAAAAUAGACAUUCACAGCUCCUAUUGAGAAAAUUACUUAAUUUUUUAUUGAAAUCCUUAAUUUUAAGACCUAAAAUUACAAGCUAAAGAGCUCCAUAUGCAAAACCACAUUUCAGUUUGAAAUAACUAAAAACUCACGCAAUAAUAAAAUGAAUUAACCAGUUAACAAUGAAUUUAGAGAAAAGAAAAUACAUUUACUGAAUUAACAAAUGCAGCAUAAUUGCAAGCAAUCCAUGCAUACUUACACUGUGCUGAUUGCACGUAGAUUAUAUGAUUUAACAUGAAAAUAAUCUAAUACAAUAGUUAUUAAUACCUGAAUUUAACAAAGCAAAAUGGAAAGCACAGAAGUGCUUUACAAGUUUGCUGUUUUUCAACCAAGUCAAGCUGUCUCCUAUUAUAUCUGUUCAAGCAAUAUCACCAAUGCUAAAGCACAACUUGUUAAAUACGGGAAUUUUAUAAUGUUUU